AUUAGUGGCGAACGGGUGAGUAACACGUGAGUAACCUGCCCUUAACUCUGGGAUAAGCCUGGGAAACUGGGUCUAAUACCGGAUAUGACUCCUCAUCGCAUGGUGGGGGGUGGAAAGCUUUUUGUGGUUUUGGAUGGACUCGCGGCCUAUCAGCUUGUUGGUGAGGUAAUGGCUCACCAAGGCGACGACGGGUAGCCGGCCUGAGAGGGUGACCGGCCACACUGGGACUGAGACACGGCCCAGACUCCUACGGGAGGCAGCAGUGGGGAAUAUUGCACAAUGGGCGCAAGCCUGAUGCAGCGACGCCGCGUGAGGGAUGACGGCCUUCGGGUUGUAAACCUCUUUCAGUAGGGAAGAAGCGAAAGUGACGGUACCUGCAGAAGAAGCGCCGGCUAACUACGUGCCAGCAGCCGCGGUAAUACGUAGGGCGCAAGCGUUAUCCGGAAUUAUUGGGCGUAAAGAGCUCGUAGGCGGUUUGUCGCGUCUGCCGUGAAAGUCCGGGGCUCAACUCCGGAUCUGCGGUGGGUACGGGCAGACUAGAGUGAUGUAGGGGAGACUGGAAUUCCUGGUGUAGCGGUGAAAUGCGCAGAUAUCAGGAGGAACACCGAUGGCGAAGGCAGGUCUCUGGGCAUUAACUGACGCUGAGGAGCGAAAGCAUGGGGAGCGAACAGGAUUAGAUACCCUGGUAGUCCAUGCCGUAAACGUUGGGCACUAGGUGUGGGGGACAUUCCACGUUUUCCGCGCCGUAGCUAACGCAUUAAGUGCCCCGCCUGGGGAGUACGGCCGCAAGGCUAAAACUC
rnacentral:rRNA from 1 species